rnacentral:rRNA from 1 species
CCUACGGGAGGCAGCAGUGAGGAAUAUUGGUCAAUGGGCGCGAGCCUGAACCAGCCAAGUAGCGUGAAGGAUGACUGCCCUACGGGUUGUAAACUUCUUUUAUAAUGGAAUAAAGUGAGGCACGUGUGCCUUUUUGUAUGUAUUUUAUGAAUAAGGAUCGGCUAACUCCGUGCCAGCAGCCGCGGUAAUACGGAGGAUCCGAGCGUUAUCCGGAUUUAUUGGGUUUAAAGGGUGCGUAGGUGGUUUGGCAAGUUAGUAGCGUAACUCCCAGGCUCAACCUUGGAACUACUACUAAAACUGUUGGACUUGAGUGCAGGAGGGGCAACCGGAAUUCCUAGUGUAGCGGUGGAAUGCGUAGAUAUUAGGAGGAACACCAGUGGCGAAGGCGGGUUGCUAGACUGUAACUGACACUGAGGCACGAAAGCGUGGGGAGCAAACAGGAUUAGAUACCCCAGUAGUC